AGUUUGAUCAUGGCUCAGAGUGAACGUUGGCGGCGUGCCUAACACAUGCAAGUCGAACGGACUCAAAGGGGUAACUCUUUGAGUUAGUGGCGAACGGGUGAGUAACACGUGGGUAAUCUCCCCUCGAGUGAGGAAUAAGCUCCCGAAAGGGAGUCUAAUACCGCAUAACGCCAUGGGGCAUAAGCGUCCAUGGUUAAAGCCGCAAGGCGCUUGAGGAUGAGCCCGCGUCCUAUUAGCUAGUUGGUAGGGUAACGGCCUACCAAGGCGAUGAUGGGUAGCCGGCCUGAGAGGGUGUCCGGCCACACUGGGACUGAGACACGGCCCAGACUCCUACGGGAGGCAGCAGUGAGGAAUUUUGCGCAAUGGGGGAAACCCUGACGCAGCGACGCCGCGUGGAGGAUGAAGGCCUUCGGGUCGUAAACUCCUGUCAGAGGUGAAGAAUGCCCGCAAGGGUUUGACGGUAACCUCAGAGGAAGCCCCGGCCAACUACGUGCCAGCAGCCGCGGUAAUACGUAGGGGGCGAACGUUACUCGGAAUUACUGGGCGUAAAGGGUGUGUAGGCGGUUGAGUAAGUCAAAGAUGAAAUCCCG
rnacentral:rRNA from 1 species